rnacentral:rRNA from 1 species
GCGGUGAGUGCUUUGGGGUGGGGUGACUGCGUACCUUUUGUAUAAUGGGUCAGCGACUUAUAUUCUGUAGCAAGGUUAACCGUAUAGGGGAGCCGGAGGGAAACCGAGUCUUAAUUGGGCGUUAAGUUGCAGGGUAUAGACCCGAAACCCGGUGAUCUAGCCAUGGGCAGGUUGAAGGUUGGGUAACACUAACUGGAGGACCGAACCGACUAAUGUUGAAAAAUUAGCGGAUGACCUGUGGCUGGGGGUGAAAGGCCAAUCAAACCGGGAGAUAGCUGGUUCUCCCCGAAAGCUAUUUAGGUAGCGCCUCGUGAAUUCAUCUCCGGGGGUAGAGCACUGUUUCGGCUAGGGGGCCAUCCCGGCUUACCAACCCGAUGCAAACUGCGAAUACCGGAGAAUGUUAUCACGGGAGACACACGGCGGGUGCUAACGUCCGUCGUGAAGAGGGAAACAACCCAGACCGCCAGCUAAGGUCCCAAAGUCAUGGUUAAGUGGGAAACGAUGUGGGAAGGCCCAGACAGCCAGGAUGUUGGCUUAGAAGCAGCCAUCAUUUAAAGAAAGCGUAAUAGCUCACUGGUCGAGUCGGCCUGCGCGGAAGAUGUAACGGGGCUAAACCAU